rnacentral:antisense_RNA from 1 species
CGACAACGCUCAGCAGUCAUUGGUAAACAAACUAGGCCACGAGCAUGAGUCACCAUAAAGUUAAUUGCUUCAGGAGUAACAUGUUCAGCGGCCAUGAUU